CUGCAGUCCAAAUUGAUAUCUGUAAAAUGUCAAACCAGUAAAGCUAUGUGUUCUGAAAGGAAGUACAAAUAAUUUAGUACAUUCUUAUGUGUUUGGGAGGAUUUUACUGUGCUGUGCAGAGAAGAUACAUUUUUCUCCCAUAACCCCCUCCCUCUGCCCCUCCCAACCCUGCCUCUAUUUAUUAUCUUUAAUUUGUUUUACUGUGUGAGUAGGUACAGUUGAAGUCGGAAGUUUGCAUACACUUUGGUUGGAGUCAUUAAAACUCGUUUUUCAACCACUCCACAAAUUUCUUGUUAACAAACUAUAGUUUUGGCAAGUCGGUUAGGACAUCUACUUUGUGCAUGACACAAGUAAUUUUUCCAACAAUUGUUUACAGACAGAUUAUUUCACUUAUAAUUCACUGUAUCACAAUUCUAGUGGGUCAGAAGUUUAAAUACACUAAGUAGACUGUGCCUUUAACUUCUUGCGACUACAGGGGGUGCUGUUUUCUCAUUAGCAUAAUUGCAUUACAGAUUAAACGGCUUCCUACUAAAUUAUUGCUCGUACAAUAUGCAUAUUAUUACUAUUAUUGGAUAGAAAACACUCUCUAGUUUCUAUAGGCGUUGGAAUUUUGUCUCUGAGUGGAACAGAACUCAUUCUACAGCAAUUUCCCUGACAUGGAGUCAGAUUUCACACAUUUUGGCCCCUGAUCUGGAGUCAGUUUAAAGGCCACUGUGAACGCUAUCAGGAUACGGACACUGCUUACGUCUUCCCCUGGAUGCCUUUACGUGAUGACGAUUUGAAUGGUAUCGAUUGCGCAAUCACAGCCCCUAUAAAACAAAAACACGUGUAGGUAGGAACUCUUUUCCAGAUGCGUCGGGCGCGCGGUGGACACAGACCUGCUCUUUUUCCAAGCAUUAGUGUAGCCAGUUAUAUUUCUCCGGUCAUGUUUCUACUCGUUAUAGGAGUUAAAAACAUCAUAAGGUAGUUAAUGUAAAGCGUUUUAUAGCAAUUUAUAUCCGUUUAGUGCGAUUUUGGGACAUUUAUUUCUGAGACACUGUGAAUCUCUGGACACGGUUCCAGUUCAUGCCGAACGCAAUGGGCAUUUCUACAUGGCAAGAGGACAGCUUUCGACCAAAAGACGAUUAGACCCAAGAAAGGAUUCUUUGCCCAAGAUUCUGAUGGAAGAACAGCUCAAAGUAGGAACAAUUUAUUAUGAUAAAUCGUGUUUCUGUCGAGAAAUGUUAAUCGCUUAUGACGCCAUUUUGUUUGACGUAGCUUCGCUUGGCGCAAACUGUAUUGAAAAGUAAGGAUAAUUUAAAAAAUGUAAUUCAGCGAUUGUAUUAAGAAUUAAAUUGUCUAUCAAUCGCUGUCCACCCUAUAUUUUUUUGUCACGUUUAUGAGUAUUUAUGUAUACGACUAGAUCACUGUCUAAUAUGGCGCACGACAUUGUCUGACCAGCUGGGCAACUUUUGUCAUUGUCUAACCAUGAUUUUGGUGGCUAAAUAUGCACAUUUUCGAACAAACUGUAUAUGUAUGUUGUAAUGUGAUGUUACAGGAGUGUCAUCUGAAGAAUUCUGAGAAGGUUAGUGAAAAAAUGUAUAUAUUUUGGCGAUGUUUACGUUAUCGCUCUCUUUGGCUAGAAUCAAUGCUCUGGUAACGUUUGCAUAUGUGGUAUGCUAAUAUAACAAUUUAUUGUGUUUUCGCUGUAAGACACUUAGAAAAUCUGAAAUAUUGUCUGUAUUCACAGGAUCUGUGUCUUUCGAUUAGUGUAUGCUGUGUAUUUUUACGAAAUGUUUGAUGAUUAGUAAUUAGGUAAACACGUUGCUCUAUGUAUUUAUUCUAGUCCAUUUGUGACGGUGGAUCUGUAUCUUUCAUUAGGUGUCUUGGACUUGUGAUUUAAUGAUAUUUAGAUGCUACUAUUUAAUUGUGACGCUAUGCUAGGCUAUGCUACUCAGUGUGGGGGGGCGGGGGUGGGGGGUGAUCCCGGACCUCCACAAAAGAAAUCAGCCAAGAACUCAGAAAAUAAUUGUGGACCUCUACAAGUCUGGUUCAUCCUUUGGAGCAAUUUCCAAAUGCCUGAAGGUACCACGUUCACCUGAACAAACAACAGUACGCAAGUAUAACACCAUGGGACCACGCAGCCGUCAUACUGCUCAGGAAGGAGACGCGUUCUGUCUCCUGGAGAUGAUCGUACUUUGGUGCGAAAAGUGCAAAUCAAUCCCAGUACAACAGCAAUGGACCUUGAGAAGAUGCUGGAGGAAACAGGUACAAAAGUAUCUAUAGCCACAGUAAAACGAGUCCUAUAUCGACAUAACCUGAAAGGCCGCUCAGCAAGGAAGAAGCCACUGCUCCAAAACCGCCAUAAAAAAGCCAGACUACGGUUUGCAACUGCACAUGGGGACAAAGAUCGUACUUUUUGGAGAAAUGUCCUCUGGUCUGAUGAAACAAAAAUAGAACUGUUUGGCCAUAAUGACCAUCGUUAUGUUUGGAGGAAAAAGGGGGAGGCGUGCAAGCCGAAGAACACCAUCCCAAACGUGAAACAUGGGAGUGGCAGCAUCAUGUUGUGGGGGUGCUUUGCUGCAGGAGGGACUGGUGCACUUCACAAAAUAAAUGGCAUAAUCUCAACACAUCAGUCAGGAAGUUAAAGCUUGGUCACAAAUGGGUCUUCCAAAUGGACAAUGACCCCAGGAAUAUUUCCAAAGUUGUGGCAAAAUGGCUUAAGGACAACAAAGUCAAGGUAUUGGAGUGGCCAUCACAAAGCCCUGACCUCAAUCCUAUAGAAAGUUUGUGGGCAGAACUGAAAAAGCAUGUGCGAGCAAGGAGGCCUACAAACCUGACUCGGUUACACCAGCUCUAUCAGGAGGAAUGGGCCAAAAUUCACUCAACUUAUUUUGGGAAGCUUGUGGAAGGCUACCUGAAACGUUUGACCCAAGUUAACCAAUUUUAUGGCAAUGCUACCAAUACGAAUUGUGUGUAUGUAAACGUCUGACCCACUGGGAAUGUGAUGAAGCUGAAAUAAAUCAUUCUCUCUACUAUUAUUUUGCCAUCUCUGCCAUUAUUGUUUACUCCAUGUGUAACUCUGUGUUGUUGUCUGUUCACACUGCUAUGCUUUAUCUUGGCCAGGUCGCAGUUGCAAAUGAGAACUUGUUCUCAACUAGCCUACCUGGUUAAAUAAAGGUGAAAUAAAUAAAAAAAAAUUAAAAAAUCUCACAUUCUUAAAAUAAGGUGGUGAUCCUAAUUGACCUAAAACAGGGCAUUUUUACUAGAAUUAAAUUUCAGGAAUUGUGAAAAACUGAGUUUGAAUGUAUUUGGCUAAAGUGUAUGUUAUCUUCCGACUUCAACUGAAUUUAGUACAUUACAUCAUAAUUUAAUUUCAGAGUUUUCAAUAUUUUAUUUAUUUUCCAUAUUCUUUAGUAUAUUUUAAAUACAUUUUUGCAUAAUACAAAUGACUGAUUUACAAUGAUUCUGUUU